rnacentral:lncRNA from 10 species
AAUGCCACUUUGGCAGCCGAUGUUAACAUGACUGCUCAUUUGAUAAAGGUAGCUCUUGGCUCUGAGAUGUUGACAUGCUUAGAAUAGGAAGUGAAAAACAAAUCAAGAUCCAUGUAACAUAUCAUCCUUAUCACAAUGUAUGGGAAAAUUGAUCUAAAAAAGCCUUGGUCUUGUAAAAUGUUAAGUGAAGAAAAAUACCAUCACUGGAUCCAUUGACUGAGAUAUGCAGUGAAAGGAAUCCAAGCUGGCUGGGAAGAAAAUCACUUGGCCCCCCGAGAUAAAUGUGGUCAAGGAAUCCUGACUGACAACGUCAGCAAAAGCAGAAAGAUUUCGUUGCAGUUUCGGUAAAAACUUCCCUCAUCAAAUGAACUGAAAAAUAAUCCUUUCUCCAGCAUUUUCAGGAAGAGUUUGUGAAGGUUUGAUAUAUCUUCUGCAAAUAUCUGACAGAAUUCACCAACAAAGAUUGUAUUGUAUUCAAGCAUCUAAUCUGGAGAUUAAAAUAUAAUAACCUGCAGCACAAAGUCACCUUGAGCUUUGUAUGGAAAAAAAAUUCUAUGAUGUUUCUCCUCAGAUAAGUGAGGCGAUAUAAAAUAGAGACUAAGUUGGAAUGAUUACCUCACCCUCUACCUCCUGGCACCAACAUUUUGGUAAACUUUAUAAAUUUUAUCUAGUUUCCCUCACCUAAGUUUUGUGUGUACUUAGGCAUAGAAGGUAAACUAUACCACACACUCACUAGACUGAUGGAAAAGAAGAAUUUCCAUGAGAUGGGAAAUUUCAAAUACUCUUGGUCAAGAAAUAUAUAUAAACUUCUGUCACCUUCGUCACUUAUUUGAUGACCCAUCAUGGAAUAUUGGCUAGAGUAAAUUAUUGUGGUUUGUUUGGGAUGUUCUAACAGACACAAAAUUCACCUUGUGGGAUCCUGGUGGGGGAACACCCUAAAGAAAUAAACAGCAAUUCUUGAGAGAUUUCAAGAACUGAGU